GUCCUGGCCUUAAACGAUGGAUGCUUGGUGUCUGGGUUUAUAGUCCCCGGGUGCCGUAGCUAACGCGUUAAGCAUCCCGCCUGGGGAGUACGGUCGCAAGACUGAAACUCAAAGGAAUUGACGGGGACCCGCACAAGCGGUGGAGCAUGUGGUUCAAUUCGACGCAACGCGAAGAACCUUACCAGGGCUAGAAUGCCUCUGACAACCCCAGAGAUGGGGCUUCCUAGGGAAACCUAGGCAGAGUGCAAGGUGCUGCAUGGCUGUCGU
rnacentral:rRNA from 1 species